rnacentral:rRNA from 1 species
UACGAAGGGGGCUAGCGUUGCUCGGAAUUACUGGGCGUAAAGGGCGCGUAGGCGGGUCGUUAAGUUGGGGGUGAAAGCCCAGGGCUCAACCCUGGAAUUGCCUUCAAUACUGGCGACCUUGAGUAUGGCAGAGGUGUGUGGAACUCCGAGUGUAGAGGUGAAAUUCGUAGAUAUUCGGAAGAACACCAGUGGCGAAGGCGACACACUGGGCCGAUAUUGACGCUGAGGAGCGAAAGCGUGGGGAGCGAACAGG